CCUCAGGCAGCCUCUCCCAACGUGUUUACCAAGUGUACCUGGAGUGGGAAGUGUCUACUGUGACUUGUUCGUGUCAAGCCAGAUCCUGAUGUUAGAAAGAGAUCCCAGAAUGCUAACAAGUUGGGAAUUUUUGGGUUUCCAACUUGAUGUGAAACAAGCUCUCCUCUGAAACUGUGUUCAACACGUAGAGCUGGCGCACCAAAAUCGGUGGUCUUGAGUCACAAAUCUCCUGGGCUUUGGAAGGCAUUGAUGACCCAGCAGCAUGCCUUAGGAGUGGUGGCAUGGUGGGGGCUCAGGAGCCCAGGGCUUCUGACCUUUGGAGCCUGCCUGUUGAGGGUGCUACUUCUCCUACUGCUGCCCCUCCUACUGUCGAUCCCUCCCUCAGCUCUUCAAUUUUGCUUCUGAAUUGACUUCAGACCUGCUCUGCUGUUUUGGCAGACUGAUCUUUCAAAGAAUGAAGAGAAGAAGCACACCCUCUGUUUAUCUCUGAAGCUUAUUGUUUGCAAGCUAAUUCCACGCGUGUUUUCCCUCGAAUGUAACCCUCACACCAAGCCCAAGGUGUAUUGUCCUUACACCGGUUUCACAGAUUAAAUAGUUGGUACUGGGGAGCAAAGGAAGCAAGCAACCUUGGAAACUAGACGAUGCUGUUUUACAAUCUUGUCUUUUGCCUGGGAAGUCACUGUUUCUUUGUCAGAACUAAAUGAAAAAAAGCCCAGUAGCCUGCCAUUGAAAUGGUGCAGAAUUUCUGCAUUUCACUUGUCUUAUAGAAGAGGAUGUGAAAAGGAAGGGAGUGUAGCUAUACUCAUUUGUACA
ensembl:processed_transcript Gm10433 predicted gene 10433